AGCUGGCUGGUCCCAUGAGGUGACUUCUGCCCAGUGCUCUGAUUGUCAAUGCGAAGAGAUUCAGCCAAGCGCGGGUAAACGGCGGGAGUAACUAUGACUCUCUUAAGGUAGCCAAAUGCCUCGUCAACCAAUUAUUGACGCGCAUGAAUGGAUCAACGAGAUUCCUGCUGUCCCUAGUUGCCGUCUGGUGAACCAACAGCCAAGGGAACGGGCUUGGAUGUGUCAGCGGGGAAAGAAGACCCUGUUGAGUUUGACUCUAGUUUGAUGCUGUGCAACGACAUGGAGGGUGUAGCACAGGUGGGAGGCGAGUGCCAUUGCCACAAUGGGAACCACAGCAGCAGGUGUGAAGGCUGCAUCAGCAGAGAUAUUGAUUGCCUUGGUGCAAACCAGCAGUGAAAUACCACUACCUUCACCGUCGUUUUACUCAUCGAGUGGUCUGGGAACGGCGGCCAUUCAAUCAGCUCUUCCCCUGCGGAGGGGCUGUGGCCAACACCCGCUUCGUGCACAAAGUGCAGCACUCUGUGCUGCACAACCCUGGAGCUGCAUUCCAAUCAGAAGCCUUGAGACAUCGAUCAGUUGGGGAGUUUGGCUGGGGCGGCACGCCUGUUACAAGACAACGCAGGCGUCCUGAAGCAAUGCUCAGAUGGAACAGAAAUCUCUCAUGGAGGAGCAGGCCAAAGGUGCUGCUGAUGCUGCGACUUCCAGUGCAAGUCCAAAACGUGCAAGUGUGGCCUAGCGAUCCUUUGGUUGAGUGCACGAGUUUGGGAUAUUGAAGCCAGAGGUGUCAGAAAAAUUACCACAGGGAUAACUGGCUUGUGGCUGCCAAGCGUUCAAAGCGACGUCGCUUUUUGAUCCUUCGAUGUCGGCUCUUCCUAGCUUCCCACCCGCAGCCGAGUGGAAGAGUUGGAUUGUUCACCCACCAACAGGGAACGUGAGCUGG
rnacentral:rRNA from 1 species